rnacentral:rRNA from 1 species
AGUAAGUUUUAUGAUUAAGCUACUAAGGGCGUACGGUGGAUGCCUUGGCGCCAGAAGGCGAUGAAGGACGUGGCAAGCUGCGAUAAGCUUCGGGGAGCCGCAAGCAGGCUUUGAUCCGAGGAUGUCCGAAUGGGGAAACCCGGCGAGAUGAACUCUCGUUACAGCCCGCUGAAUACAUAGGCGGGUAUGAGCCAACCCAGGGAAGUGAACCAUCUCAGUACCUGGAGGAAAAUAAAUCACAGAGAUUCCGAAAGUAGCGGCGAGCGAAAUCGGAACAGCCCAAACCCCGGUAUUUAUACCGGGGGGUUGUAGGACCGCGUGAGUAGAGUUACCAAUCCGACGGUUAGGUGAACCCGCUGGAAAGCGGGGCCACAGAAGGUGAGAGCCCUGUAACCGAAAACUGAUCGGACUCGAAGCGGGAUCCUGAGUACCACCGGACACGUGUAAUCCGGUGGGAAGCUGGGGAGACCACUCUCCAAGGCUAAAUACUCUCUGGCGACCGAUAGUGAACCAGUACCGUGAGGGAAAGGCGAAAAGCACCCCUGCGAGGGGAGUGAAAUAGAACCUGAAACCGUAUGCCUACAAGCAGUCGGAGGGCCAUGUACGGACUUCGGUCCGUAAAAGCCUGACGGCGUGCCUCUUGCUUAAUGAGCCGGCUAGUUAAUGUCACGUGCGAGGUUAAGCGCAAGCGAGCCGUAGCGAAAGCGAGUCCGAAUAGGGCGCAAGUACGUGGUAUUAGACGCGAAGCGGGAUGAUCUACCCUUGGCCAGGCUGAAGGCCGCUUAACCGCGGCUGGAGGGCCGAACCGGUGUGAGUUGAAAAUCGCUCGGAUGAGCUGAGGGUAGGGGUGAAAGGCUAAUCAAAUUCCGUGAUAGCUCGUUCUCCCCGAAAUGUCUUUAGGGACAGCCUUGUGUGAAUUGCCACGGUGGUAGAGCACUGAAUGGACUAGGGACCAACUCAGGUUACCGAAUCCAAUCAAACUACGAAUGCCGUGGACAACUGCACGGGAGUGAGACUACGAGGGAUAAGCUUCGUGGUCAAAAGGGAAACAGCCCAGAUCGCCAGCUAAGGUCCCUAACUGUAUGCUAAGUGGGAAAGGAAGUGUAUUCGCUCGGACAGCCAGGAGGUUGGCUUAGAAGCAGCCAUCCUUUAAAGAAAGCGUAACAGCUCACUGGUCAAGCGGAUAUGCACCAACAAUCCAACGGGGCUCAAGCAUACGACCGAAGCUGCGAAAUGUGCGUUGCGCAAGCAGCGCACUUUGGUAGGGGAGCAUUGCGUGGAGUCUGAAGGCAGACCGAGAGGACUGCUGAACACUACACAAGAGACCCUGCCGGCAUAAGUAGCGAUAAACACGAUGAGAACUCGUGUCGCCGAAAGUCUAAGGUUUCCUGAGGAAGGUUAAUCCGCUCAGGGUUAGGCGGGUCCUAAGGUGAGGCCGAAAGGCGUAGCUGAUGGACAACAGGUCAACAUUCCUGUCCCGCCUGGUGACGUUAACACGAUGGGGUGACGCAGAAGGAUAGGGAAGUCGGGUGAUGGAUAUCCCGAUCGGACAGUGCAAGCCGGAUUCCGGAGGAAAAUCCCCGGGGUCAUUCAACGGUGAGGCUGGACGCGAGGUCGUACGACCGCAAAGUUUCCAAUUUCACGCUGCCAGGAAAAACCUCUAAGGAGUCCACCAGGUGCCCGUACCACAAACCGACACAGGUAGACAAGGUGAAUAUCCACAGGCGCUCGAGAGAACGCUCGCUCAGGAACUAGGCACAUUAGCCCCGUAACUUCGGGAGAAGGGGCACCGCUGUAGGGUUGAUAGCCCGAAGCGGUCGCAGUGAAAUGCGCUCUGCAACUGUUUAACAAAAACACAACUCUCUGCAAAGUCGAAUACGACGUAUAGGGGGUGACACCUGCCCGGUGCCGGAAGGUUAAAGCAAGGGCUUAGCGCCGCAAGGUGCGAAGGCUUGAACUGAAGCCCCGGUGAACGGCGGCCGUAACUAUAACGGUCCUAAGGUUAACGAUCGCGCAGCCUUAGUAAAACUGAACCAUAUGCGGGAAACUCCUCGCACAGCAGUCCGGUACUCGCCGCGCUAACACGCGGCAGUCAAAAGCCGGCUGACAUGGGGACAAUCCGCAGGGAAGACUCCAGGAGAAAAAGUAAUGGAGAACCCUCAGAGACUUGACGUUCAGUCGCAUCCUGAGAAGCUACAAGCCCAAUGGGUGGUAGGUUUUGUUGACGGAGAAGGUUGCUUCUACGUUGGCAUUAACCCGCACCCAGAAAUGUCUUGCCAAUACCAAGUGCUCCCCGAAUUCACAGUCGUUCAGCACCGACGUGAUGUUCAACUGCUUCACGCGCUGAAGAAAUUCUUCGGUUGCGGAGUAGUGAGACAAAAUCACGGCGAUCGAAUGGCCUACCGAGUCCGGGGGCUGAAUCACCUCACUGAAAGGAUUGUUCCCUUCUUCGAAAAGCAUCCGCUGAAAUCGAAGAAGCGGGUCGACUUCGCGAGGUUCCGAAAGAUUCUGCACCUGAUGAAUCAGGGAAAACACUUGAAGACGGAAGGCAUUGAAGAAAUACGGGAGAUAGCUUCAGUAAUGAACACAGGCAGCGAAAGAGAAAGUCCGGCUUCUCUGGAAACAGAGUAGGAGAAACCGAGCGAAAUUCCUUGUCGGGUAAGUUCCGACCUGCACGAAUGGUGGAAUGAUAGAGCGACUGUCUUGGCGAACGGCUCGGCGAAUUUGUGGUUCCGGUGAAGACGCCGGAUGCCCGCAUCUAGACGGAAAGACCCCGUGCACCUUAACUGCACUCUGGUCAUGAGUAACGGAAUAGUCUGCGUAGCAUAGGCAGGAGCCUGUGAACCUCUGGUUUCGGCUGGAGGGGAGGCAACAGUGAAAUACUGCCCUGAUUGUUCUGUCGCUCUAACCUACCGCCCGAGACGGGCGGGGAGACACGGCCAGACGGGUAGUUUGACUGGGGCGGUCGCCUCCUAAACAGUAACGGAGGCGCCCAAAGAUCGGCUCAAGCGGAUUGGAAACCCGCUGUGGAGUGCAAGAGCAGAAGCCGGUUUGACUGUGAGACUUACAAGUCGAGCAGGGACGAAAGUCGGGUCUAGUGAUCCGGUGGUCCCGCGUGGAAGGGCCAUCGCUCAACGGAUAAAAGGUACGCCGGGGAUAACAGGCUGAU